rnacentral:lncRNA from 1 species
CCAGAUUUUACCAAGACUUUUGUAAAGGCACUUUGGCCUCUGAACAAAGAAACGGUUCGGUUUCUUCGGUUUCCCUACAGGCGACGAGUCAAAGGAUGAGCGAGUGCACCGACACUUCGGUAGGACAUUCUUAGCUUUUGGCAUCGAUGGAUCGUCAUCAGGGCGACCCUCCGGCAGUGCGGUGUGGAGACAGAGGCCCUCCGUUGCCCCUCGACAACCAACUGGAAAUGGCCCUCUCUGCUGCUCUGGACAUCUCUGCGUUCGUAGAUGACAACGAGUUGGACAUGUACGGCUCCCUUCAGCCCCAGGUACUGCCGCGUUCUGAGCCCCAGACCAAGCCUCCUUCUCCUCCACCUCGGGUGAAUGCGGGGUCAGGCGCCAGGGCUGGUGAACCCGAAGAGAGGCCCAAGAAGCCUCCGAAGGUCCCUCCGAAGCCUCCCCGUAGGCGGGCCACCAGCGACCAGCUCUCUGAGCCUCGCAAACGGCUCUCCUGCAAUGUGGACCUUCCUGUUGUUCCUUCAAGGCUGACCAGAGCCACUACAGAGACAAACACAAACUGGAGCAUAAAGCUGAGCGAGACCCCACAAGGCAACAGCAGAAGGCUUGCUGACUUCUGCAAGUCCACAUCCAAACUGAUUUCCCAGCACAGCGAUGCUGAUGGGAUGUGGAGCGCGGGGCUGGCGUGGGGUCGCGUGUUGCCUCUUCACGUCGACUUGCUGCAGAACGUUGAGGUGAACGUGAACGUCACCACUGACCAGUUGCCCUACCAGCUCUGUCGCAGCACCCCUGCGAGCUGGACUGUGGGGAAUCUGCUGGAUGGUCUGCUCCACAUCCUGGACAUCAGCCCUGCACGCAAUGAGCAGUACUUUCUGAAGAUCUGCGGCUCAGAGGAGUUCCUCAAAAAGUAAAAAAAUAAAAUGCGUGGUGAAUUUUGAAC